rnacentral:sRNA from 5 species
AUAUCUCUCUGUACGGGAAGGAUGAGAAGCUUCGACUAAGGUUCGAUUCGAGCGCAGCGAGAAAGCGUUGCCGCAGGCAACGACCCGAAGGGCGAAGCGCGC